CAUCAGUCUUGCAGUUGUGGAGACAACUUUGAAAGGACCACCAUCCUUGUACAUCUGCGUAAGAGCUGUCUCCUAGCCUCUUUGAGACUCCGGUUGCCCAGUUUCCUGGGCCCUCCCUGCUCAGAACUGCUGCUGUGCUGAUAAUGGCCACCCUAAGCCUUCACAGGGGACUUAGCUGCAGUUGGACCAUGGCGCUAAGCUCAUCUCUCCCGGUUGCUAAGUCUCUAGUCUAAGGCUGUGGAUAGAGCACCGGGUGACCUGUCAACAAAAAAAAAAACUGAGGCCUGUGUCGCAAGAGUUGCAUCUCAUGUUAAUUUGAUAAAUCUGCGGCAGGAAGGCCCCACCCAGGCCUCUGCACCUGAUAUACCCAGCAUACAGGUGAAGUCUGUUCCGGACGAUACCAUAAAUGAAAACUGACCAUGGCAAUGGCAAUAAUGGCUGAGAUUCCCAAAGCAGCGACCAUAAUAAACACUUCACACCAAUUAGGCCAAAGUUCAAUCAAGCAAAGGGUACAGUCCUUCGUAGCAGGGAAAUCGUGGCAGCAGAUUCGAGGCAGUUGGUGAUACCAUCUCCAGAGUCAGCAAGCAGAGAGUAGACAGGAACCAGAGCCAGGCCAUAAAACCUUCCUGCCUUCCAUGGUGACCUGCUUUCUCCAGAGGAGUUCUGCUUCCUAAAGGCUACACAAGCUUCCAAAAGAGUGUCACCAGCUGGGGACCAGCGGUUCCAACAUGAGCCUGUGGGGGACAUUUGACAUUCAAGCACACAGGAGACUGCUAGCACAGAAGAAAGCAGAGUGCAUUCUCCAGAUACGGAAAAGCUCACAUGAUUCUUAAAACUUAGUCAUCAACCUCACUCUGGAAGGAUACCCUGGGCAAGCUCUUCACGUUUCUUAAAAGAGUAGUUCCUAGUUCACUAGAACCCCCAGGACGUUUGUCCCUGAUUCUCUAGAACCCCCAGGACGCUUGUCCCUGGUUCACUACAACCCCCAGGACGUUUGUCCCUGGUUUACUACAACCCCCAGGACGUUUGUUCAAAACUCAGAUAUUGGCACGGUCCUUGGAAGAUGCUAGCCUAAUGAACUACCCAGAUAAUUCUGAACUACAGCCAAGCUGGGGAGCAUCCAUCAGUGAGAACUGCUCAGCCCCGGAUCUUCCUCUUUCUGCCAGUCCCAGGCAGGCCGGGCCAGGCUCCCCCGUUUGUGAUCUGUGAUCUACUGCUGGAGAAAUGCUCUCUCUCUCUCUCUCUCUCUCUCUCUCUCUCUCUCUCUCUCUCUCUCUCUCUCUCUCU